AGCGCCCCGGACUGACUUAGCGGUUCUGAACUUGGGGCGGUCGCUGUGCCGGGCCAAGUGGCUGAGGAAGUUCCUCCCCUCGUCUAACCCUCUCAUUUUCUGGCUGGGGAAGUCGCCCAUCGCGCCGAGGAGUGCCCUUUGUCCCCUUACAGAAACACCUCUGCGCCCCAAGUGGGGACUCGGGCCGGGACCCCUCACCCGGUCCGCAGCGCUGUAGUUCCUGUGGCUAGCCCAGUCCUUCCACGUCCCUACCCGCACCCGGCGCGCCCACGUCAGGGGUUUUCAGCGUCCUUAGACCCUGCUCCGUCUGGCUGUCAUUUCUAGGGCGCGCACGAUGCGGGUCGAAAAGGAACCCAGUUUUCAGUGUGCCUUGUUGCCCAGGCCAAGGACUCAGCGGACCUCGCCUCUCCCUUUUCUGUAAUUGUAACACUGCCCCAGGUCUCCCUAUUCCUCCUUCUCCCUAUUCCUCCUUCCAGCCUGGAAGCCUCGCGGCCCUCCAGAUGGACUCGGAGCGCCCCUGGAGGCUACAGUGACCUAAGCUCUAGGAAGGCCGGGUCCUGGACGCCGCGUGCUGCUGUCCGCCGCCGACCGGUGUCCUCGCAGAGAUAACCUGGCUGAACUCACCGCCCAGCGCUAUGUCAGUUCUCCCUCAUGACAACCCAAAACUUGACCGGAUUUGUGUUCUGCAGAGAGGAAAAAAAAAAGCGGCCACCGAACACCAGUGCAGUAGCCAGGAUGGGCCUGUGGCUCUGGCUGCAGCCUCCAGGGACACCAGCUGGAGAGAAGGAAGCCACGCAUGGAGAGCGGCCAGGAGAAAAUCAAGGCUCCAAGAAGGC
rnacentral:lncRNA from 1 species